CGACAGGCUUAACACAUGCAAGUCGAGGGGCAGCGGGGGUGCAGGCUUGCCUGCACCUGCCGGCGACCGGCGCACGGGUGAGUAACACGUAUGGAACCUGCCCGCCACAGGGGGAUAACCCGGGGAAACCCGGCCUAAUACCCCAUGCCGCCCGGACCGGGCAUCCGGACCGGGCGAAAGGAGGAAUCCGGUGGCGGCUGGGCAUGCGGCGCAUUAGCUUGACGGCGGGGUAACGGCCCACCGUGGCGACGAUGCGUAGGGGUUCUGAGAGGAAGGCCCCCCACACUGGAACUGAGACACGGUCCAGACUCCUACGGGAGGCAGCAGUGAGGAAUAUUGGUCAAUGGGCGGAAGCCUGAACCAGCCAAGUCGCGUGAGGGAAUAAGGCCCUACGGGUCGUAAACCUCUUUUGCCGGGGAGCAAGGGCGGGGACGUGUCCCGGCCCGGAGAGUACCCGGAGAAAAAGCAUCGGCUAACUCCGUGCCAGCAGCCGCGGUAAUACGGAGGAUGCGAGCGUUAUCCGGAUUUAUUGGGUUUAAAGGGUGCGUAGGCGGGCUUUUAAGUCAGCGGUAAAAAUUCGGGGCUCAACCCCGUCCGGCCGUUGAAACUGGGGGCCUUGAGUGGGCGAGAAGAAGGCGGAAUGCGUGGUGUAGCGGUGAAAUGCAUAGAUAUCACGCAGAACCCCGAUUGCGAAGGCAGCCUUCCGGCGCCCUACUGACGCUGAGGCACGAAAGUGCGGGGAUCGAACAGGAUUAGAUACCCUGGUAGUCCGCACAGUAAACGAUGGAUGCCAGCUGUCCGGGCCGAAUGGGGCCUGGGUGGCAAAGCGAAAGCGUUAAGCAUCCCACCUGGGGAGUACGCCGGCAACGGUGAAACUCAAAGGAAUUGACGGGGGCCCGCACAAGCGGAGGAACAUGUGGUUUAAUUCGAUGAUACGCGAGGAACCUUACCCGGGCUCAAACGCGUCAGGGAUCCCCUCUGAAAGGAGGGGAGUCAGCAAUGACCUGGCGCGAGGUGCUGCAUGGUUGUCGUCAGCUCGUGCCGUGAGGUGUCGGCUUAAGUGCCAUAACGAGCGCAACCCCUACCGACAGUUGCUAACUGGUGAAGCAGAGGACUCUGUCGGGACUGCCGGCGCAAGCUGCGAGGAAGGCGGGGAUGAUGUCAAAUCAGCACGGCCCUUACGUCCGGGGCGACACACGUGUUACAAUGGCAGGUACAGCGGGAAGCCACCGGGCGACCGGGCGCGGAACCCGAAAACCUGUCUCAGUUCGGAUCGGAGUCUGCAACCCGACUCCGUGAAGCUGGAUUCGCUAGUAAUCACGCAUCAGCCACGGCGCGGUGAAUACGUUCCCG
rnacentral:rRNA from 1 species